UGACACGGCGGCAAAUUCAAAGUCUACGGGGAUUUAACAUGGUAAACUCGUCCAUUAGCGUCAAGAUCACGGGGCAGGAAACCAGUUUAUCGAGGGAGUAGUCGUUCUUUCCAAAUUAAAAUUACAAAAAAUCCUAAAAAUUCAACGAAAGCAAUUCAGUGUGUUUUGGUAAAAAAUAUAAGUAUUGUUUUGCAUUCAAAUAUAUUUGACGAGUUUUCUCAUAAACUGAGAGAAAAUAAUCCGAAUUCAAUGCAGUACAAGUUGUGGAUAACGCACUGCUCUAGAAAGGGGAUGUUGACAUGAUGUGUAAUUUACAGCUUCCUUCGAUGAAAACGUUAAAAAAAUUGGAGUACAUUGUUAUGAUGACCAGACUCGAAGGCAUUCAUGUAAUUGGGUGAAUCACAGAGUCUCAGGAAUCUUCUGGACUAACCAAAAGUGAUGGCUGAAACAAAUAUUAACUGAUAGUCUACUUAGUGAUCUGGACACUGG